ACUCCUACGGGAGGCAGCAGUGGGGAAUAUUGCACAAUGGGCGCAAGCCUGAUGCAGCCAUGCCGCGUGUAUGAAGAAGGCCUUCGGGUUGUAAAGUACUUUCAGCGGGGAGGAAGGCGAUAAGGUUAAUAACCUUGUUGAUUGACGUUACCCGCAGAAGAAGCACCGGCUAACUCCGUGCCAGCAGCCGCGGUAAUACGGAGGGUGCAAGCGUUAAUCGGAAUUACUGGGCGUAAAGCGCACGCAGGCGGUCUGUCAAGUCGGAUGUGAAAUCCCCGGGCUCAACCUGGGAACUGCAUUCGAAACUGGCAGGCUAGAGUCUUGUAGAGGGGGGUAGAAUUCCAGGUGUAGCGGUGAAAUGCGUAGAGAUCUGGAGGAAUACCGGUGGCGAAGGCGGCCCCCUGGACAAAGACUGACGCUCAGGUGCGAAAGCGUGGGGAGCAAACAGGAUUAGAAACCCUUGUAGUCCCAUG
rnacentral:rRNA from 1 species